GGUGAACUUCUCGGGCCGAGAACGAACCACGUCACCCGCAAAACCUCAGCUAUCGGAUCACGCAUGGACGGCUCGGAUUAUCCAAUAGGCUAGGUAAUUUUGUAAAAACCCCUCGGAUUUUGUUAGAAUUAACUCGGAGUCCAACCCACCUCUCUGGCAUUGUUUCAAAAAACCCCUUGGACUUUAUAGAAAUCAAUCCGUAGUCCAGCCACCUCUUAGGCAAUUUUAUAAAAACCCCCUCGAGCUUUAUAGAAAUACCAUUUAUCUGAAAAACCCUCAAACUAUACCAAAAUCAGCCUGCAAUCCAUUACACCGAUUAUUGGUUGCCUCUACAAUUCAAACACUAAAACACAUUCAAAUCAAAAGGUGUUGAAUACGAAAGUUAUUCAAAAUUUAAAAAUGUACAACAUUUUCAUACACCAAUUUUUCAAAUCCGAAGCGCUUUUAUGUAGAUCUAAGGUCCAAUAUUGGAAAAAAAUUACAUAGCUCCUCAAAACCUGACCAUUGCUCUACCUUCCCUUUUUAAUUAAAGUCUUCAGUCAAUUAAUAUAAUUUAUCCUUAGUUAAUUCUAAAAAAAUGUAAAAUAGUUGCAAAUAUCCAAUGAAUGAUAAGUAGUUUAGAAGCUUGGGUGCGUUUCAAAUUUGAAUUUUAUACAAACACGCACCUGUUCUCCUCCUGCCGAUCAUUAUAAAAGCUGUCAAAAACUUUCCAACCUGUACUUUUGUUUUCAUCCAAUAGCAUGAAUUGCAUAUAUAUGCAAUGCUCGAAUUUCAUCACUGCUUCGAAUACCUCCUCCUCAUUCAAUUCAACAUAUGUCGAGAAACGUUCAUAUCUCUGCUGCCAAUGAAUCAAAAUAUAAACUUCAGGAUCCAAAACGUCAACAAGGAUUUCUUCUACAAUUGUUUUAUCGAUGUUGCAAGGAUUACAUAGACUACCAAAACUCUUGUCAAGUCUUGGCUACCUCUUGUAUUCUCUACAGUUAGAACCUAAAUUUCAUUUACAAAAUUGCCAACCUGCAACUACAGUCUCUACGGCUCCAUCAUCGCUUUCUCGAUCCACUUAAUCCCCAUCUCCACGUCAAUUGUGUAAUCAUCUCCACCUCCAUACAUGGGCUACGCUAAUACUACUCAUAGGUCAUCCACCGGAUCAGC
rnacentral:lncRNA from 1 species